GAUCGGCUCAGGAUGAACGCUAGCUACAGGCUUAACACAUGCAAGUCGAGGGGCAUCAGUUUGGUUUGCUUGCAAACCAAAGCUGGCGACCGGCGCACGGGUGAGUAACACGUAUCCAACCUGCCUCAUACUCGGGGAUAGCCUUUCGAAAGAAAGAUUAAUAUCCGAUAGCAUAUAUUUCCCGCAUGGGUUUUAUAUUAAAGAAAUUCGGUAUGAGAUGGGGAUGCGUUCCAUUAGUUUGUUGGGGGGUAACGG
rnacentral:rRNA from 1 species